GACGAACGCUGGCGGCGUGCCUAAUACAUGCAAGUCGAGCGAAGAUUCUCUGGUCCUUCCACUAGGAAAACUUAGCGGCGCACGGGAGAGAAACACGUAAAGAACCUGCCUCAUAGUCUGGGACAACCAUGGGAAAGGAUAUCAAACACCGGAUAACAGCAUUAACUGCAUGGUUGAUGUUUAAAAGUGUGUUUUGCUAACACAAUGAGAUAGCUUUGCGGUGCAUUAGCUAGUUGGUGAGGUAGAGGCCUACCAAGGCAACGAUGCAUAGCCGACCUGAGAGGGUGAUCGGCCACACUGGAACUGAGACACGGCCCAGACUCCUACGGGAGGCAGCAGUAGGGAAUCUUCCGCAAUGGGCGAAAGCCUGACGGAGCAACGCCGCGUGAGUGAUGAAGGUUUUCGGUUCGUAAAACUCUGUUGUUAGGGAAGAACAAAUGUGUAGUUACUAUACACAGUAUUGACGGUACCUAAUCAGAAAGCCACGGCUAACUACGUG
rnacentral:rRNA from 1 species